UUCCACGCCGUAAACGAUGGAUGCUAACUGUUAGGGGGGUUUCCGCCCUUUAGUUGCUGCAGCUAAAGCAUUAAGCACUCCGCCCGGGGAGGACGGUCGCAAGAGUGAAACUCAAAAGGAAUUGACGGGGGGGCGGCCAAGCGGUGGAGCAUGUGGUUUAAUUCGAAGCAACGCGGAGAACCUUAUCAGGUCUUGACAUCUCGCUGAGCGCCCUAGAGAUAGAGCUUUUCUUCGGGGGAAGCGGUGACAGAUGGUGCAUGGUUGUUGUCAGCUCGUGUCGUGAGAUGUUGGGUUAAGUCCCGCAACGAGCGCAACCCUUGAUCUUAGUUGUCAGCAUUCAGUUGGGCGCUCUAAGGUGACUGCCGCUGAUAAACCGGAGGAAGGUGGGGAUGACGUCAAAUCAUCAUGCCCCUUAUGACCUGGGCGACACCCGUGCUACAAUGGUCGGUACAGAGGUCGCAACCCCGCGAGGGUGAGCUGAAUAUCCACAAAACCGUUCUCAGUUCGGAUAUUAGGCUGCAACUCGCCUGCAUGAAG
rnacentral:rRNA from 1 species